GAUCUGAGACACGAUUCCAGGCCCUACGGGGCGCAGCAGGCGCGAAAACUUUACAAUGCAGGAAACUGUGAUAAGGGAACCCCGAGUGCCCGUAUAUGCGGGCUGUCCGGAUGUUUAAAACGCAUCCGAAGAAAGGGCCGGGCAAGACCGGUGCCAGCCGCCGCGGUAAUACCGGCGGCUCGAGUGGUGGCCACUUUUAUUGGGCUUAAAGCGUUCGUAGCUUGAAUAAUAAGUCUCUUGGGAAAUCUGCAGGCUUAACCUGCAGGCGUUUAAGAGAAACUGUUGUUCUAGGAACCGGAAGAGGUGAGAGGUACUCCGGGGGUAGGAGUGAAAUCCUGUAAUCCCCGGGGGACCACCGAUGGCGAAGGCAUCUCACCAGGACGGCUUCGACAGUGAGGAACGAAAGCUGGGGGAGCGAACCGGAUUAGAUACCCGGGUAGUCCCA
rnacentral:rRNA from 1 species